UGGGGAAUCUUGCACAAUUGGGGCAACCCUGAUGCAGCGACGCCGCGUGAGCGAUGAAGCCCUUCGGGGCAUAAAGCUCUUUCGACCGGAACGAUAAUGACGGUACCGGGAGAAGAAGCUGCGGCUAACUACGUGCCAGCAGCCGCGGUAAUACGUAGGCAGCAAGCGUUGUUCGGAGUUACUGGGCGUAAAGAGUGCGUAGGCGGUUUUCUAAGUUCGGUGUGAAAUCUCCCGGCUUAACUGGGAGGGUGCGCCGAAGACUGGGAAGCUGGAGUGUGGGAAAGGCAGGCGGAAUUCCUGGUGUAGCGGUGAAAUGCGUAGAUAUCAGGAGGAACACCGGCGGUGUAGACGGCUUGCUAGACCAUAACUAACGCUGAGGCACGAAAGCGUGGGUAGCAAACA
rnacentral:rRNA from 1 species